rnacentral:rRNA from 1 species
GGAAUGUGCCCUUUGGUACGGAACAACACAGGGAAACUUGUGCUAAUACCGUAUGUGCCCUUCGGGGGAAAGAUUUAUCGCCAUUGGAGCAGCCCGCGUUGGAUUAGGUAGUUGGUGGGGUAAAGGCCCACCAAGCCGACGAUCCAUAGCUGGUCUGAGAGGAUGAUCAGCCACACUGGGACUGAGACACGGCCCAGACUCCUACGGGAGGCAGCAGUAGGGAAUCUUGCGCAAUGGGCGAAAGCCUGACGCAGCCAUGCCGCGUGAAUGAUGAAGGUCUUAGGAUUGUAAAAUUCUUUCACCGGGGAAGAUAAUGACGGUACCCGGAGAAGAAGCCCCGGCUAACUUCGUGCCAGCAGCCGCGGUAAUACGAAGGGGGCUAGCGUUGCUCGGAAUUACUGGGCGUAAAGGGCGCGUAGGCGGACAGUUUAGUCAGAGGUGAAAGCCCAGGGCUCAACCUUGGAAUUGCCUUUGAUACUGGCUGUCUUGAGUUCGGGAGAGGUGAGUGGAAUGCCGAGUGUAGAGGUGAAAUUCGUAGAUAUUCGGCGGAACACCAGUGGCGAAGGCGACUCACUGGCCCGAUACUGACGCUGAGGCGCGAAAGCGUGGGGAGCAAACAGG